AGAGUUUGAUCCUGGCUCAGGAUGAACGCUGGCGGCGUGCUUAACACAUGCAAGUCGAGCGAAGCACCUUGACGGAUUUCUUCGGAUUGAAGCCUUGGUGACUGAGCGGCGGACGGGUGAGUAACGCGUGGGUAACCUGCCUCAUACAGGGGGAUAACAGUUGGAAACGGCUGCUAAUACCGCAUAAGCGCACAGUACCGCAUGGUACGGUGUGAAAAACUCCGGUGGUAUGAGAUGGACCCGCGUCUGAUUAGGUAGUUGGUGGGGUAACGGCCUACCAAGCCGACGAUCAGUAGCCGACCUGAGAGGGUGACCGGCCACAUUGGGACUGAGACACGGCCCAAACUCCUACGGGAGGCAGCAGUGGGGAAUAUUGCACAAUGGGGGAAACCCUGAUGCAGCGACGCCGCGUGAGCGAUGAAGUAUUUCGGUAUGUAAAGCUCUAUCAGCAGGGAAGAAAAUGACGGUACCUGACUAAGAAGCCCCGGCUAACUACGUGCCAGCAGCCGC
rnacentral:rRNA from 1 species